AGAAGAGGAGCUGACUGGCCUCUGGCAAGCCCAAGCUGGAUUACCAGCUGCGGAGGCAGAGGUGCCUGAGGUUUCCCAGCCCCCAGGCCAGAGGAGGCUGCUACACCCACUUCCCCCACGAAGCUGGGGCCCAGGCCAGAGAGAGAGCCCCAAAGCUGGUUUGGGGGCGGGGAGCUUCCCUACAGGCCCUGGAGCCCCAUAGGCCCCAAGACAAAGCAAGAGGAAUGAGAGGAAGCACAGCCGGGUCAAAGCUCCGAGCCACGAGUACUGAGGCAGGUGGUGGUACCCAGACCCCCUCUCCAUAGCUCCCAUGAGAGCACAAGGCGGAGGAGAGGACAGACUCCUGGCCUGAGGGGCCAAGCACCAGCUUCUCAGCCAGCUCUGCCACUGACUUGCUGCUUGGCAAGUCACUUAACUGUUCCAAGCCUCAGUUUUCACUUCUGGAAAUGGGGAUAUGACCCCCUGCCUGCCCCCUCAUGCUGGCAUAAGAAUCAAUGACCUGUGACAGGACUUUGUAAAUUAUAAGUUGGUAUUAGUUAGGCCUCUUUAGUCACAAAUGUGAGAAACUGACAUUAAAUGAGGCAAUGCAAAAGGGGGAUUCACCAGCUCAGAGGCCCAAGACCCAGGGCAGGGAGAGGAGGCGCUGUCAUUCCCUCUCACCCCUGCAUCUCUCUGCAAGUCAGUCUCUUCUUCCGCAAGCCUGGAGCCAACUUCACCUCCUAAGAGGAGCUUCUCUGCUCUGUCACUACCAACUUGAACAACCACAGGGAGGGCCCUGAAUUGUGUCACAUGUCCACCCAUGGCUGUGAGACACUAUCUUAUGCAGCUUCUUCUGGAAGCUUCUUAUUUUGAUUGUUGGCAUCAGCAUUAUAAGUUUGCCACAUUUUCCUGAUUCCUAUCCUCCUUGGACAAAAUAACAUAGGGGCUAAGGGCACAGGCUCUGGAACCCAGAUUACCUGGAUUCAAGUUCUGGUUCUGCCAUUUUCUCACUGUGUAACGUUGGGCAAGUCGCUUAACUUCUCUGCACCUCAGUUCAUAAAUCUGUGAAAACUAAAUGAGUUGAUACAUGGGAAGUAUGAACAAUUGUGCCUGGUGCCGGCCAGGGGUUCAACAAAUGUUAAUCAUUAUUAUUGUCGGAGAAUGAAGGGGCAGUGCCUGGGAAUCCCAGGAUGAGAGACAGCCUGAAGAAAAACCAUCCUGCUCCACCUACUCCUCAACCUUCUUCCGGGGAGAGCUGACAACUGCAGGAGCUAUGGCUCAACAAAGAUGUACAGAGCUAUGCAGUAAGCCCUGAGAAUUACAAAACUUGACAGACAAAGUCGCUUUUUCUCCAGAAGCUCAUUGCCAAGUAAGGGAGAUAGAAGCAUGAAGAGAUCAUUUCUAUCCUGUGCUGGAUAGAAGCGUGUGUAUGUCUCUGUGGGAAGCCACAGUGGGACAACUGGUCCAGAGAGAGCUGCCUGGAAGAAAUGACACCUGAGCUAAGGCCUGGAGCAGGGGCAAGAGCUUGCCAAGCAAGGAAAGGAGGGCAGGGCGUUGUGCUGUCCAUUGGCUAUUCAGUCUCGGCUCCAGAUCUCCACUUGUCAGGUUGGCGCUACUGGGGCUUGAUCUGUGCAAAUUACAUGUCCCCAGGUCAGCUGGUUCUGGCAGGUUCUUCCAAUAGGGGGCACUAGGAGACUGAGGUCAGGAGGAGAGAAGGCACUUGCUCUUUUGUGCUUGCUUGCUUCUCCCCAGCAAGCUUUUUGCCGCAGAAGCAUCCACUGAAGCCUCCAGCUUUCUUCAGCCUCAGCAGCUGGAAGCCAUGUGAAGCAGCUGACAAACAGCUGGAGGCUGAGAUGCCUGCUGUGGGGGGAGCAACAGUUUAAACCAGUGAGCAUGUAGCAUCGGAAAGCUUCCCGAUGGAUGAUAGAUUUGGUGUCAGAAGUGAGAAUACAGAGUAAAACUUCAGCAACCCCCAGGAACACCAGGGAACCAGACCAGAUACCUGCGAAGCCAGCUGUGCCCACUGAUUUCUUGUUUGUAACUGGAGGUCGUGGCUGAAUUUUCUCUCAGAUUCCAAGAUCCAAGAAUUUGUGUUCUCAGCUCUCCAAGUUUGUUUGAGCAAUCUUUGGACUGGGCUGGGUUUGGGAUUGGAUUGGAUUCAAUAAUCAACCGGAUUAGAUUCAGUUAGAGGCUGAGGGCCUCAGAACUACUGCAGGACCAUACCAGAAAAGCUCAGAGAAUCCACAGACCCUUAGAAGGAACUAGAUCACUGCUGCGGGGCCCCUGAGAUGCCGGAAAACUAAAGCUAUAUUUAAAAGGGGGCUGAUACUGCUGUUUUCUAAGAUACUGCCACCAGAUACGUUAAGGAAAUCUCUCAAGAGAAAGGAACAGAUGACAUGUCUAUGGGAGCAACUGACAGUUGGUUUGUAAGCAUCCCGAAUGGUGAAUGGCAAGCUUGGCUUUUUCCAAGGUUUUCUAAAGUAUAAAUUUCUUCCCUUAGGUCUCCAGGUUAUUAUGACUUGUGUUACCAGGUAACAACAAAAAUGGCCUUUUAAAAUCAGGCCAUUUUACAGCAAACUAUAGUUCUUAAUCAUCACCAAAUCCUGCACCAAGGACUAUGCCCAACUAGAGUCAAAUAUUGUUAAACUGCCUAUAUUGUCUGAACUUUGACCUGUUUGAUUUGGUUAGGUUCGUUGAGUUCAUUUCUUAGAACUUGUUGAGGAGUACACUUUGGACUUGUUUGUUUGUUUGCUUGUUUGUUUUAAGAGGUAGUGUCUGUGUAUGCUGCCCAGGCUGGAUUCAAACUCCUGGGCUUAAAAGAUCCUCCUGCCUCAGCCUCUCAAGUAACUGGGACUACAGGCUCAUACCACGGCAACCAGCUGGUCUUUUCCUAUUAUUUUCUUGAUCGUCAUAAUAGUCCCUUGAUAUGGUUUGGCUCUGUGUUCCCACCCAAAUCUCACCUUGAGUUGUUAUAAUCCCCACAUGUUGUGAGAGGAACCUGGCGGAAGGUAAUUGAAUCAUAGGGGCAGGUUUUUCCCAUGCUAUUCCAUUGAUAGUGAACAAGUCUCAUGUUCUCCCUCACAAGCUUUCUUGCCUACCACCAUGUAAGAUGUCCCUUUGCUCUUCCUUCAUCUUCCUACAUGUUUGUGAGGCCUCCCCAGCCAUGUGGAGCUGUGAGUCCCUUAAACUUCUUUCCUUUAUAAAUUACCCAGUCUUGGGUAUGUCCUUUUAGCAGUGUGAGAACAGACUAAUAUAUCCCCUGGGGCACGGCAUCAUCUCAAGUCUUAAAUGUUUUCUUUUUUUUUUUUUUUUUUUUGAGAUGGAGUCUCACUCAGUCACCCAGGCUAGAGUGCAAUGGCGCGAUCUUGGCUCACUGCAACCUCCACCUUCCAGGUUCAAGCAAUUCUCCUGCCUCAGCCUCUCGAGUAGCUGGGAUUACAGGCGUGUACCACCACACCUGGCUAAUUUUUGUAUUUUUAGUAGAGACGGGGUUUCACCAUGUUGCCCAGGCUGGUCUUGAACUUCUGACUUCAAAUAAUCCACCCGCCUCAGCCUCCCAAAGUGCUGGGAUUAUAGGCGUGAGCCACUGCACCCAGCCACUCAAGUUCUUAUGUAUGAACUGCAAACUAACUUAGUAUUAAACAAACUGAAAACCUAAUUUAGGGGUGAGCUUCUGUAACAAUAGCUAAGUCUCAACCAAUCACAACAGCCAUGCAUUAGUCAAUCACAGGCGGCCAGCUGUUCAGACCAUGUUCAAAUAAGGCGAAUACUGUGCUGUAACCAAUGCAGCUGUUUCUCUACCUCACUUCUAUUUUCUGUCCUUUGCUUUUCUUCUUCUGCCAUAAAUUUAUCUGCCCAUACAGCAGCCCUGAAGUCUCUCUGAAUCUGUUCCGAUUCUCAGGACUGCCAGAUUCAUGAAUCAUUUUUUUUUCUUUUUCUUGCUCAGUUAAACUCUGUUAAAUCUAAUUUGUCUAAAGUUUUUCUUUUAACCCUGCCAAGUAGCUCUUUCCAUCUGGUUCUUGUCUCAUGAUGUAAGUGUUUCUCUGCCUUUUCAUCUCUGAAACAGAGUCACCUGGCAUUGGUAAUAUUCUGUUCUGAUCACCUCUAAUGGGAAACUAGCUGUAAAGAUGCUGUUUACUAUUACAGUCAGAAAUUCACAUCGUUUACUGUUUUGCUUUUGUGUUAUGUUUUAAAGAUAACAUCGUAUGGCCUUCUUUCUGAAGGGCCUGAAGAAGCCUUUGGACCAAAGCAAUAAAAUUCUGACCUUCAAAAAAGAUUAUAUCACAUAAUUUUCUACCUUUAAAAAUUGUAUAACAUUUUUUAUUCUAAAAUAAAAAGCAUAGGUACACAAACCUAAGCUUUAUUCCCAAAAAAGAUGUUUUCUAAGGGAAUAUAUUCAGGUUACAAAAUGCUAUUUUUAGGGAGCUAAAUGAUAAGAACUUAUGGACACAGAGAAGGAAACAACAGAUACUGGGGCUUACUCAAGGCGGGAGGGUGGCAGGAGGGAGAGGAGCAGAACAGGUAACUAUCAGGUACUGAGCUUGAUACCUGGAUGAUGUAAUAAUAUGUACACCAAAGCCCCGUGACAGGUGUCUGUCUAUGUAACAAACCCUCAAAUGUACCCCUAAACCUAAAAUAAAAAUGUUGUUUUAAAUGCUA